rnacentral:misc_RNA from 1 species
AAAAGUUAUCUUGUAAUCAGUUUUGGAGUAUAAUACAUUACAUAUUUGACAACCAAGUAUGAAUCGUUCACAAACUAAUUUCCAUAAUUAUACAAUACAUUUCUGGGCAAAUAUGCUACGAAGUACCUGUAAGUUACAUGUUAUGAUUUCUACUCUGUUUCUGAGACGACGUCCAACACUGAGGGGGGUCGUUUUCUUGAAAUUCUUGCAAUCGUUCUUGUCCGAAUGGCCACGUUAAAUGGAUUGGGAGGUACUGUAAGAUUCUCUCCUUCACCUUCCAACAUAUGAAUAGCAACCUUUAUGGAGGGGCGAUCAACUGGGUUCCAUUGAAUGCACCAGAGUCCAACAAUUGCUAGUUUCUUCGCAAUUUUAGCAUCUCCCUCUUCCUCAAUGUGGAACCUAAGGUCUUCUCCUUCUUCCAAAAGAUUAUAAAUCCAUU